ensembl:lncRNA
AUGGGACGAGCUGCUCCUGCGCUGCUGCCCCGCGAGCGGCCCGGCGGUGGCGGGGUCCCGUGUGGGUGCUGCGGCGGCGAGGAGCGCAGGCCGCCCGCCUCGGGCCCUGGAGGUCCCCGCACAGCCCCCGGGGCGGCGUCCCGGCGAUCGCGGAAGCCCUCGCUGUCCUCCAGCGGGCUCAGGUUGCUCAUGAAGUCGGCGCUGACCGCGCGGGGCUGGAGGUGGCCGCGUGGGACCCGCGGAACUCCCGCCGGGGCAGCGGCUGGAAAACCGGGUCGACCUCCGUCCCCCGGGGCGCUUCGGCCCUGGGGUCCCCUCCUCUCCCGUCCCCUUCCGUCCCCUCCCCUCCCCUCCCCUCCCCUCCCCUCCCCUCCCUUCCCCUCCCCUCCCGUCUCCUCCCCUCUCCUCCGCCAGCCGCGGGCGAGCCAAGAAAGGGGAGAGCAAAGCACCGGGCGGAGGGGAGGGGGCGCGAGGAGGAGGCGGAGAUUCCGGGGACAAGGUUACAAAAGGAGGAUUCGUUGGAACUUUCCUCGGGCCCCACGCUUGCUCGGGAUCUGGAUUCCAUUUGGCAGCGCGCAGCCGUCCAGUGGACGGGCUUUGUAGGGAGUUCCUCGGACCUGGUGUUCACAGCAAGUGAGGUGGGUUCAGUUCUUCCCAGGUUCCAGUGGUUGAGGUGGAAAGGCAACGGUAUAAAUACCCUGUAUAGCCUUUUCUCCUUAACCAGGUGGAGAUAGUGGUGGAGUGUUGUAGGCUAGUCCUAAGUGUAAUACGUUUGAAGUAAUGAGGUAAAAAGUAGAAGGAAAUGUUUCCGCCCGGUUUCGAACCGGGGACCUUUCGCGUGUGAGGCGAACGUGAUAACCACUACACUACGGAAACCUGCUUGGUUUUCGUGUGCCAUCGUAAUGACCCACCACACAGGGCCGUUUUUUAUUUCCUCAUCGUAAUUCAGAGCUUCCUCCAUGCGUCCCUUCGAGCUUUAUUAAUGAGCAUAAGCACACACACAAAGAUAUUUCAGCACCUGGAAGGCUGAGGCGGCAGGAUAGCUGGAGCCCAAGAGGUCGAGACUGCACUGAGCUAUGAUUGCAGCACUGCACUCCAGCCUGGGCGACAGAGCAAGACCUUAUCUCGAAAGAGAGAAAAGAAAGAAACGAGAAAAGGAAGUUUUCAUGUGCAAUGUGGUGGCAUAAGUGGGCACGAGAGUCCUGAGAGAGGAUGUCCCGGCGACAGUGGGUAUGGGGGUUGAACAGCAGGGGCGCGCUGGCACCCACCAUUUUCAAAGAGAAGAGACAUUCAGAAGAAGCUGCUUGGGGAAUAUGAGGCCACGUGUUCGUGAGUAGAGCUGAAGCUUGUGUGUCCAGAGAAAUUGGAGUGGAAUGAAAGAGGAAGUAGCCUAAAACACCAUUUUUAUUGUUCUAUUGUUUGGUAGAACUCUAGAUUUUCCUAGCAGCCACUGCUCUUGGACAUUUAGAUUACUUUCCUCCCACCAACAGUAUGCAAGCGUUAUGAAGGCUACCCCCUUGGCAACAUUUGGCACUUUUCAUUGAUUUUUUUUUUUUUAACUUCUAGCCAUUUGUGGGUAUGUAGUAUUCCUUAUGGUUUAAGUUUGCAUUUAGCUGAUAAGAAAAGAUGGGCACUUUUUCAUGGGUUUAUGGCCCAUGUGUUCAUCUUACUGUGUGAAGUAUCUCUUUAAAUAUCUUGUCCAUUAAAAACAAACAAAGAAAAAAAACACACAAACAGAAAACCCCAAGAAACAAAAAACAAAGAACUGGCAUGUCAUGGUGGCUCACACCUGUAAUUCCAGAACUCUGGGAGGGCGAGGUGUGUGAAUUGUUUGAGCUCAUGAGUUGAGACCAGUCUGGGCAACAUUGGGACAUCAUCUCUACAGAACGUCCAAAAAUUAGCUGGGAGUGAUGGCGUUCACUUGUAGUUUCUGUAGGUACUUGGGAGGCUGAGGUGAGAGUAUUGCUUGAGCCUGAGAGAUGGAGGCUGCAGUGAGCAGAGAUCUCACUGCUGCACUCCAGCCUGGGUAACAGAGCAAGAUCCUGUUCCAAAAAAAAAAAAAAAAAAAAAAAAAAGACUCUCAUAUGUUUUUUUAAUCUGGAAACUUCUAAAUUUCAGCUUGUAUGUUUAAGUGUAAACUCUUUCAUAUAAUUUUUUUUGUUAUGGUGUGAGGUUGGGAUUAAGGUUAAUUUCUUUCCCCUAUGGAUAUCCAGUUGUUCCUGAACCCAUUGUUGCAAAGACACUAUUUUUACAUUGAAUUGCUUUGGUGCCUUUGGUGAAAAUCAAAUAACUGAGUAUAUGUGGGCCCAAAUUCUUUUUGUUCAUUUUUUGCUUUUCAAUUAAAAAUUUCAAAUAGGCCAGGCAUGGUGGCUCACCCCUGUAAUCCUAGCGUUUUGGUAGGCUGAGGUAGGAGGAUUGUUUGAGGCCAGGAGUUGGAAACCAGUCUGUGCAACAUAGCAAGACCAUGUCUCUACAAAAAAAAAAAAAAAAAAAAAAAAAAAAAAAAAGUUAGCUGGGCAUAGUAGUGCGUGCUUGUAGUCCCACCUAGUUGGGAGGCUGAGGCAGGAGGAUUGUUUGGGCCCAGGAGUCCAAGGCUGCAGUGAGCUGCAAUCACAGCAGGGCACUGCUACCUGGAUGACAGAGUGAAUCCCUGUCUCCAAAUAAAUAAACAAAUAAGUAAAUUAAUAAAUGUUUGCAUUAGAUGAAUUAUGCCAUGUUUUGUUUAUCCAUUUAUCAAUGAAUGAACAUUUAUGUUGUUUCCAUUUUUUUUUUUUUUUUUUUUUUGAGACAGAUUCUCACUCUUGUCACCCAGGCUGGAGUACAGAGGAGCCAUCAUAGCUCACUACAAUCUCCACCUCCUUGGUUCAAGUGAUCCUUCCACCUCAGCCUCACAAGUAGCUGGGACCAUAGGUGUACACUACCACACCUGGCUAAUUUUUGUAUUUUUUAUAGAGACGUGGUCCCUAUGUUGCCCAGGCUGGUCUGGAACUCUUGGCCUCCAGCAGUCCACCCACCUUGGCCUCCCAAAGUGUUAGGAUUACAGGCAUGGGACACCUUGCCUAGCCUUUGUUUCCACUUUUUCGCUAUAAUGAAAAAUGAUGCCAUAUAUAUUUUGUGUACAUUUUUUUACGUGACAAAAAGGUAUAUAUAAAACUCUCUUUUAUAUAUACCUAGGAGUGGAAUUGAUGGAUUGUAUGGUAACCCUAUGUUUAAAUUUUUGGCAUAGCAAAGUGAAACUUGAAACUAGCAAUUCCACUAAUACUGUUUAUUUAUAUGAUAUUUCCAGAAAAGGCAGAUGAAAACAGAGGAAAAGCAGAUCACUUCUUGUGUACCGCUGAGGCUGAGAGCAAGGAUUGGCUGCAGAUGGGCAUGUUGGAAAUCUUUGUGGUAACGGAACUGUUUUAAAAGCGGAUUGUGGUGAUGGUUGCAGAAUCCUAUGCAGUGACUAAAAAAUCAUUGAUCUGUGUAUUUACAAUGAGUGGAUUUUAUUGUAUUGAAUUGUACCCCAAUAAAGCUGUUAUAGAAUGCUAAACCAUAAAAACAAACCUCCAAACACAGCAACAGGCAGUUAGUGAUUCCCUGGGAUCAGCUCAGGUGACAGUUGCAUUGUGCAAAAUGAUUCCUGUGACCCAGAGUAUAAUUAAUGUUUACAUAAUGCUUUACCGCAGCCUUGGAGGGCAGGUAACUUGCACCUUGAAACUUGAAGGUCUUGCUAGUAUUGCUUGUAAUCAAAGUAAAGUAAUUGUAUAAAUAAACAAGGUGUGAAUAAAUUUAAGGAGAUGCCAAGUAAAUGAAGGAGAUGAGCGAUCACCGCGAGACUGAAGCUGGGAGGGGCGUGACGGAAGUCAUCCAAUCCAAAACUAUCGGAAUAGAGACCUUGCCAAUGGAUGGGUUUAGAAAACGAAAAGUGCGUGUUACAGAAACGAAAUGAGGAUCCGUCAUAGGAUCCAGUUUAUGGUCAACACGGGGACGUCCACCCAAUACUGUGCGUCUAUAGGAGGCACUAAUGUGUGCUGCUGUGCUUUGGGUGUGAUGUGCAAAGUACUGGUCCUUGAGGAGAUGGGGGCACUGGUUUUUAUUUUCCACAGCUGUCUUUUUAAAUCUAGAAGACAAAAGCAUCUGUUGACGAGCGCUCGGGGCUGCAGAAGGGUCGUGGCGUUGAACGUGCUGGCCCUCUGCAGGGGCCGCCUGUGUGUGUGUGUUUGGGGGGUGGUGAGCUCCUGCACUGGCUGUCAGGGUGCGAGUUACACAACCCCUGGAGGUGGCAGUUCCUUGUCUGUAGAAUGGGUUGAGAGCAGCGCCUUUCUUACAGGUGGAUGACGAGGGUUAGAGCAAUUAACACACGCACUAGCACUAGGUAAGACUGAAGAAAAACUCACUGGAUCUACAGCUGUGCCAAGGCAGCUCAGUUCCAGGCCCAGGGGACACAGCAUGAAGGAAACAAAACGGAAGGAUCUUUCUCCCCAGAAGGGAAGGGUGGGGGUGAGGAAGAAGGGAAGACCGAGGCCGCACAGGCGGACAACGGUGGACGGCACUGCGCGAUGGAGAGGGGCCUCCGCCCAGGAGAUGUGAAGAGGCGGCGCUGGGCGCACGGAGCUGCAAGGGAAAGGCGGGUGCGGGGGCUGCAGGGGCCGAGCAGGAGGCUGGGCGAGGACCGUGCGUACCCCCAGCAGCGGCAGGAAGGAGACAAGCCUGGAUAGUGGGCCCGUUUGCCGCAGCCUCAGCUUCUGGUUUGUGUUCGGGAAGAGCCCGCGCUCAGUCCGGUCUCAGCCACUCCCAGGAGCGAGCGCAGAUCGCGCUACACCCGUUUGUCGUCCUCCGCUCCCGCCUUGGGAGCAGCAGCAUCUCCGCGACUUCCCCGUGUCCGCGCUUUCUUCCAGGGCUUGGCAACCGGAAAGUGUCUAACAGCGGUUCAAGGAACCGCCUCUGGGCUGCAGCGGAGCGGGGACAUCCCUUGGGAACGGCAGCGCGUCCUCUGGUCGCGCCCAGGAACAUCCCGAGCCUGCGAGUCCGAUCGCGGGAGUCCCCCAG